AAAAUCAUGUUAAACAAGCUGGAAAAGAUGUGAUCAGACUCAUGGAUGACUUAGGCCUCUUUCUCAGCCAAAAAAAGAGAUCAAAUAUCCAAGAUAAGGAUCCAUUAUCUCUUGCUGAUGAGCCAGCCACGAAAUUCAAGUCAAGAAGUCAGCCAAAAUAAUUAUUAUCGAGUUUUCAAGAGAAUUUUAGUUUUAAUUAAGUUUUUUUUUUAUUUCUGCAAUUUAGGACUUUUCGUUUUCCUUCUUCUUCUCUACUUAAACUCUCUUUUGUUUCAGAACAAAAUAUUCACUUUUUUUUAAAUAAAAAUCUCUCUAAAUCUGUGAAUCCUUUGUUCAUCUUUGAACAUCGAUUGCUAGAAGUUCAUUCUCUGCAAGCAAAACUUGUCUUUGAUUGAAAUCAGAGUUCAUUCUCUUGAUCUUAGACACAUCUACACAAGCAAUGAUCAAUCCAUAGAUCAUUUCUGAAGUUCAUCCCAUCAAACCAUCUAUCACCAACGAAAUCAUCCCAUUUUCACUCUCAAACAUCUGAUCUUCUUUCAAAAGAAUCAGGGACAAAGGAUCUCAUCAUAAGGGAUUCAUCAAGUGGUAUCAGAGCAGAUAUGAAGGCUCUUGAUAUGGGUUUGAUUCUAAAACUUCUCUAUUUGUUUUGGAAAUCUGUUUUCUAUUCUCUGCAAUUUUUUUUCUCUACAAUUUUCUCAGAAAUCUCUUAUCUUUCUAUCUGUAUAAUCUGCAAGAGGGCC
rnacentral:lncRNA from 1 species